rnacentral:rRNA from 1 species
UGCCAGCAGCCGCGGUAAGACAGGAGGAGCGAGUGUUAUUCGAAUUAAUUGGGCGUAAAGGGCAUGUAGGUGGGGAGAUGUAGUUGUUUGUGAAAGUCCAAAGGGUUUCUUUGGGUGUGCAUUCAAGACGGUUUCUUCUCUUUGAGGGUGUAAGAGGAAAAUAGAAUUUCCAGAGGAGAGGUUAAAUUCUUAGAUUUUGGAAGGAAUACCUAAUGCGAAGGCAAUUUUCUGGUGCACUCCUUGACACUGAGGUGCGAAAGCGCGGGGAGCGAACAGGAUUAGAUA